GCUAAGGUAGCAUAAUCAUUUGUUAUUUAAUUGGUAACUGGAAUGAAAGGUUAAAUUAGCUUAUUAAGUUUGUGCGAUUAAAUAGGAAAUUAAAGUUAAGGUAAGAAUUCUUUAAUCGUCUAGGGGACGAUAAGACCCUAGAAGCUUAACAAGUAGGUUUUUGGUUUUACAAGUUAGUUUGUUUUACUGGGGCGGUAAAAAUAAUUAAGCUAUUUAUUAUUUAAAAGAUCCUUUAGAUAAAGAAAAAAUGGGGGAGUUACUCUAGGGAUAA
rnacentral:rRNA from 1 species